CUGUUAAUAAAUGGUCACAAAACGUGUCAACGUAGUUUGUCGACUUUUGCUGCGCCUUGUCUAAAAGAAAAUAAUCUGCAACACAUGCAUAUUUACAAUGCACAUUUUUUAAAGGAAAAGCCAUUCGUGUAGCAUUAGUACCACAUAGUACCACUAUUUUCUCAUAGUCUGUGAUGACUGGCGCCUAUUCACCGGCACACAGCCAGCUGCAGGAAGCAGUGGUUGUUCCUGUGGAACGGUGGGUGAAGUGAUUCUUCCAUCAUGGCCGCCAUUGCCACCCCGCCCUCUCGCCUGCCACUCAGGACUAGCAGUAAAAUGGAGUGAGCGAGACUAGAGAGUGAUGUGCUAUGUGGCUGCUGUGGCACACUCCACUGAACCAUAACCCUUCCCGUUCACCAUACCCGAGCUUAGGGGCUCUCUAUACGUCUUAAGGUGCUUUUAAACUGUGUUAAAGCACAGUAGUGUACGAAGGCGAGAGUUAUUAUCGUGUGAGGAGGAUGGCUGUGCUCUGCACCACGAAGAAGAUGUCAUGCUGAGGAUGGGUUUCUGCACUGAUGUUGUUGGUGUGAUGUACUGUAGCGGUGGCUCUCUCACUGUGUCUCUGUUGGCCAUGAUGCGUAACCAUAGAGAGUGAGUGACAGCCUGGUCUCCACACAGCAUAGGGGGCCUGAGAACCACAGACUCCUUUCAGAAGCAGUGAGGACUGACCAGUCUGCAAGCGAGACACUGGCCUUUCUCCCAUCAUGCCAGUCACUGACUGUUCUAGGCGUUGUGUUCAAAGACUAGUGCCACAAGUAUGGAAAUGCAGAUAAAGCAUUGUAACAAAUGAAAGAGGGAAAAAAAGGGUUAAAUGCCUGGAAAUGGUCACCGUCCACCACUUGUGCCACUGCCUGGUGCAUUUUCUUUUGUUUUGAAAGUUUUGCCAACAUUUUCAGUUGUUGACGGAUCUGUAGAGCGGAGGUAUCUAUCUACACACGCAGAUUAUGAGAGCCCUCAAUGUAAAUAACAUAUUUUUGUUUCUUUGAAUUUAAGAUGACAUUAACAAUGACCUAUCACAGUUUGCUGAUGAUAUGCCCGAAUGUACUCUUUCAGGUAAACAUUCUACAUAGUUUGUUAGAUACGGAAACAUACAACUGCCAUGUAAUGUUUACGAGAAAGCAAUCAAAACAGUAUAAAGCAAGCCUGUUUAGUAUUACGUUUUGCAGGCUAUAUGUUAUUUGGGUAAUUCAUAGAAGCUCUGUAAGUAUGUAAAACAUGUUUUGUUUUUUAUAUUUCCCCCAGAAAUAUCCACAGUAUAUCUAUUGUCUUAAUCAAGUAUCCCCAAACAGUCCAAAUGGAGGAGUAGUCCAAUGGUGGUUUUGGUUAUAUUGUGAUGAUUGAACGAGUUGAACCAGUCGUAGGCUGUGAUAUAAGGCCCACCUGAGUAGUAUGAGAAAGAAUAUGGGAACAUAGCAACAUUUAUCUAGAAUUAUAUCCAAUACAUUUGAUCCAUCUUUAAUUUGUAAAAAAAAAAUGUUUUGUCAAAGUGAUGAAAAAAACAUUAUUCACCAUUUUGUGUAAUGUUGUGAUUGUCCUUCUCAUAAUAAAAAUGAAGACAUACUCAAUUGUGAUGUCUGUGUUUUAAAGUUA
rnacentral:lncRNA from 1 species